ensembl:lncRNA
CUCAUUUCGACAUCUGGGCUUUUCUUUCUCAAUGGAGAUUCCUGAAGACAGCUAAGACAUGAGCUUCCUUGCCACUGGCUGCCUGCAAGGUGGUUGGCACUGGGGUACUCAGACUGUAGUUCUAAACAAAGUGAUAUAAAAACUUUUUUUCCCAACCUGAAUUAUGCAAGGAGAAGAACAAGUAGUCCUUUCCAUCAGUGGAAACACAGCUGAAGGGAACGUAGGGCAGAGAGAAAAUGGACAGUACUCUGAAGGUGUACGCAGACUAGAGGAAUGUCUUCUACUAAUACUGCAUCUAUAUAAAAUGGCUGGAACAUACAGAGCAGAAGAGAGCUAACUGUCCCUUUGAUGCUGUAAAUGAUGACAGUGAAGAAAUCAGAGUGGGUAUAGCUGUGAACAUGGGCCAUAAAAGGCUGCAGCCACUGCCGGGAGCUUACUUUAGAUGUCCACAGACCUGGAUGCCAUUUUCUACUGAGACCAUAGGUCCAUGACAGAGAAUAUUACAUUGAAAAGUCUUCAAAUGUGGAUGUUCUGUUUUUGAGUAGACUUGACUUAUACUUGGC